AGGAACGUCCGGACUGCACAGGACAGCGCAGGAGUUAAUGACUCUCCACCGUGAGGUGAGGAUCAGAGCAACAGAGACGAGCCGAUUCAGUUCGGGUGAAACGGGCAAUCUCUGCGCGCAGCAACACCAAGUAGGCCAGUAUCGAGGUGGUUCCGCUGAGCUGGCGGGUAGGUG
rnacentral:misc_RNA from 1 species